rnacentral:lncRNA from 1 species
ACCAUCAGAUGCCGUCCCACUUUACUGCGACAAUAACAGUGCCAUAGCCCUAGCUAAGGAGCUGAGGUCUCAUCAAAAAAUCCAAGCACAUUGAGCAGCGAUUCCACUUGAUUUGCAAUUACCUCAAAAAAGGAUAUGUCGAGGUGAAGAGAGUCGACUCCACGGACAAUAUGGUUGACCUACUGAUGAAGUAAUUGAGCCAGCAA